CUGAGUGCUGCGUGCUAUACAUGCAGUCGAGCGGACCGACGGGAGCUUGCUCCCUUAGGUCAGCGGCGGACGGGUGAGUAACACGUGGGUAACCUGCCUGUAAGACUGGGAUAACUCCGGGAAACCGGGGCUAAUACCGGAUGCUUGAUUGAACCGCAUGGUUCAAUCAUGAAAGGCGGCUUCGGCUGCCGUUUACAGAUGGACCCGCGGCGCAUUAGCUAGUUGGUGAGGUAACGGCUCACCAAGGCGACGAUGCGUAGCCGACCUGAGAGGGUGAUCGGCCACACUGGGACUGAGACACGGCCCAGACUCCUACGGGAGGCAGCAGUAGGGAAUCUUCCGCAAUGGACGAAAGUCUGACGGAGCAACGCCGCGUGAGUGAUGAAGGUUUUCGGAUCGUAAAGCUCUGUUGUUAGGGAAGAACAAGUACCGUUCGAAUAGGGCGGUACCUUGACGGUACCUAACCAGAAAGCCACGGCUAACUACGUGCCAGCAGCCGCGGUAAUACGUAGGUGGCAAGCGUUGUCCGGAAUUAUUGGGCGUAAAGCGCGCGCAGGCGGUUUCUUAAGUCUGAUGUGAAAGCCCCCGGCUCAACCGGGGAGGGUCAUUGGAAACUGGGGAACUUGAGUGCAGAAGAGGAGAGUGGAAUUCCACGUGUAGCGGUGAAAUGCGUAGAGAUGUGGAGGAACACCAGUGGCGAAGGCGACUCUCUGGUCU
rnacentral:rRNA from 1 species